rnacentral:rRNA from 1 species
GACGAACGCUGGCGGCGUGCCUAAUACAUGCAAGUCGAACGCAGUGGGGACGGGUGAGUAACCCGUGGGUCACCUCCCAUCAGAGGGGAUAACACUUGGUAACAGGUGCUAAACCGAUACUGAUGGAUGAACCCGCGGUGCAGUAGCUAGUUUGUGAGGUAACGGCGAACCAAGGCAACGAUGCAUAGCCGAGCUGAGGGGGGGAUCGGCCAAACUGGGACUGAGACACGGCCCAAACUCCUACGGGAGUCAGCAGUGGGGAAGCGUCGGCAAUGGACGAAAGUCUGACCGAGCGACGCCGCGGGAGUGAAGGAGGUUUGCGGAUCGUAAAACUCUGUUGUUAGAGAAGCGGUAUCUAACGAGAAAGCCACGGCUAACUACGUGCCAGCAGCCGCGGUAAUAC